GAUCUGCUUUUAUUCUAAAUCAUUUCCCUUUAUUUUAUUCAUACUAUCUUGCCUUUGUGUGUGCCUGGUUAUUUUCCCAUGAGUUCUAAUCUUAGGGAAAAACUGAGGAAAUCAUCUGAAGCCUAGGAUAGUUUGAUCUUCCUUUAGAGGGGACCUACAUUUGUUUCUGGCAGGAGACCAGGGCUUCAGACGUCCCAGACCACCUGGACCCAGCUUUUGGGAUGCAGUGACUCUAUACUUGGUUUUGGUCCCUGUGAGUUCCAUUUUAUCAUAGUUCACUCUAAGUCCUACGAUAUAUUUCUUUUGUGAGUAUACGAGCCCUGCUUCUUUUAGUAAUCCCUGAGUGCCAAUAUUUGUCUCUGUUUCACAGGAUCAUGAGAAGCUCUGCUCACCUCAGCUGCAUCUUUCAAAAACAGUAGACAUCCCAGAAGGAAAGAAGCUCCAAAUGUAAGGUUUUCUGUUUUCUUCAGGUCUUGCUCUUUAAUUCCUCAUAAUUUUGUCAGUUCUUUGAAUACCUCAACUAUUUAUUGUAUGUUUGCAACUUUUCUAGUUGUCAGCAGGAAGGUAGAUUCUAAUGACCCACUCUGCCAUCAACAAAAGGACAGGUUCUUUUUCAUUAAAAAUCUUUCCCUGAUUUUCUACCUUUUUCCCAUUAAUAGGAAGUCAACUGAUACUGCUUGUCUCUUUGGUCUGCUUUGGUGUGGCUGAGUCCCUUCAGUGUGUGCUUUCCUUUGCAUAACCGCUGUGAUUUGGGUGUUGUUUGUCUCUCAAGGGUCGUGUGUCAGAAGCUUGGUUCUGAACGGGGUGAUGUUAAGAUGCAGUGGAACCUUUAAGAGUGGGGCUCAGUAGGAGAUCAUUGGGGGUACUGCCCUUGGAAGGAUUUGAUGUAGUUCUCUUGAGAUCCCAGUUAGUUCUGUCAAGAGAGCUGUAAAAGAAUAAACCCGCUCUCCAACCACCAGUCUCUGUCUCUGUCUCUCUCUCUCUCGGGCUUCUUGUCUCAUCAUGUGAUCUCUCUCUCUCUCUCUCAUGUGCUCCCACCAUGCCAUCCACCAUGUAUGACCCAGCCAAGGAACACCUCACCAAGGGCCAAACCAGUGAUCACCCAAACUUGGGAAUUCAACUUCCAAGUCCGUGAUAAAUAAAUGUCUUUUCUUUAUACUAUUCCAAGCCACAAGCAGUUUGUUAUAAAACAGAAAUUGGACUAAUACACUAACCAUAUUUUUUUAAAAAAUUGUUAUUCUCUUGACAGUUAAAUCAUGUUGUAAGCUUCAUUGGAGAGCUGACAACACAGAGAAGUAGUGGAAAGGAUAGCUGUUGCUGAUCUUGUAGGCCAGCACAGGGGGAAAUCCAUUCACUCCCUAUUGAGGUUUGGCGAGGAGUCCUCUUUACUUCCAGAUCUCCUUUGGUUGCAAUCAUAAUUUCUUUUCAUUUUCUCUAGGAUUGGAAGGAUAGAAAUCUGGACACACAAGUGACAACUUUGCACAUAAGGAUUCACAGGAUUCCAUUAGCAAAGCCACCUCUGGGAACUGUGAAGUCACAGACUUUGCCCUUAAAAGAGAAGUGCUGCAUGGUUGGCUCCUGCACUCUCCUCAGGUCCCUGGAGAAGUGGAGUUUAAUGCUAGCUCUCUGCCAUGGACUUCCUGGAGAAAUCUGGGCUCAGGGACAUCUGCAGGCUGUCAGCCCUUCUGCCCUGACUACUUGUGGACUCCACAGACAGAACUGUUCUGAAGUUGCUUCUUGUCUCAGAAUCCUCUUCUAUAUUCUGAGACUCAUGCUUUCAGCUCUUUAUCUCUUAAUGGGAUACAAAGAACACUGGGAUGGGCUCUUUUCCAAGACCAUGAAAACAAUGGUGGUGUUGAUUGUGAGAAUAACAACAGUUGGAAGCAUUAGUUGAGCACUUAUUAAAUGGUAGCCACCAGGAUAUAUAAUUUAUAUACACUACCUUUUUUACCCACCUUAAAAAAAUCUUAUACAAAUGUUUUAUUGACUUUACAGUUGUGAAAAUUGAGGCUUAGGAAGGUAAAUAACUUGUCUACUGUGUAUUUAGUAAGUAGUAGUGCUAGGAUUUCAACCUGGUAAGAGAUUCCACAAUGUAUUGCUCUGAUACAUUUCUAAAUGAAAAUCAUAUACAUAUUUUCUGGUAAAGAAUUUUAUUUUAUUUUAUUUUAUUUUGACAGACAGAGUGGACAGUGAGAGAGAGAGAGACAGAGAGAAAGGUCUUCCUUUGCCGUUGGUUCACCCUCCAAUGGCCGCCACGGGCAGCACGCUGAGGCCGGCGCACCGCGCUGAUCCGAUGGCAGGAGCCAGGUACUUAUCCUGGUCUCCCAUGGGGUGAAGGGCCCAAGCACUUGGGCCAUCCUCCACUGCACUCCCAGGCCACAGCAGAGAGCUGGCCUGGAGGAGGAGCAACCAGGACAGAAUCCCUCGCCCCGACCGGGACUAGAACCCGGUGUGCCGGCGCUGCAAAGCGGAGGAUUAGCCUAGUGAGCCGCGGCACCGGCCAAGAAUUUUAUAUACAUAUUUGCUCUUGAAACCUUACAAAUGUGUUAAAAAUGAAUUGCAUUUAAUGUUGUAUUUAGUUAAUCAUUUAGAGAUUCAAAGUCUAAAAUGUAGAGAUCAUCUGGGAAACUCGGAAUCCAUUACAGCAAGCUUUUAAAUUUCUUCUCUACAACCAACUAGCUGUGGAAACUUGAGAAGACCACGUGACAUUUCUAAUGGUUUCAGGUUCUCAAGAGUAUAGUGAAAGUUGGCUUAACUUAUCCAUAAGACUCCUUGAAAUUGAAGAUUUUUUUGCAGUCUGAAAUAUAUACAAUUCAGGUGACUUUUAAAAACAUAAUUUAUGAACGUUGUUUUGUAGGGGCCAGUGUUGUAGCACUGUGGGUUAAGCCGUCACCCACAAUAUUAAUAUCCUCCAUCAGAGUGCUGGGUCCAGAUUUGUAUGCUCCACUUCUGAUGCAGCUCCCUGCUAAUGUGCCUGGGAAGGCAGUAGAUGAUGGCAUAAAUGAAAUGCCACCCAUGUGGGAGACCUGGUUUCAGUUCCUGGCUCCUAGUUUCAGUCCAUCCCAAACUUGACGAUUGUGUCCAUUUGGGAACUGAACCAAUGGCUGGGAGAUCUCUCUCCUCUUCUCUCCCUCUUUCUCUGUCACUCUGCCUUUCAAAUAAAUACUUUUUUAGUAAGUUGUUUUGCAAACUCUUUUUUUUUUUUUUUUGACAGGCAGAGUGGACAGUGAGAGAGAGAGAGACAGAGAGAAAGGUCUUCCUUUACUGUUGGUUCACCCUCCAAUGGCUGCUGCGGCGAGAGCACUUCAGCCAGUGCACCACGCUUAUCUGAAGCCAGGAGCCAGGUGCUCCUCCUGGUCUCCCAUGGGGUGCAGGGCCCAAGGACUUGAGUCAUCCUCCUCUACACUCCCUGGCCACAGCAGAGAGCUGGACUGGAAGAGGAGCAACUGGGACAGAAUCCGGCGCCCCGACCGGGACUAGAACCUGGGGUGCUGGUGCCGCAGGCGGAGGAUUAGCCUAUUGAGCUGCGGCGCCAGCCUUUGCAAACUCUUUAUCAAGUAGAGUUGCCCUCUCUACUUUUAAAUCAAAUGGUCUUGUAUGUUUCAUAAAUGUGGUUUGCCUUAAACAAUACAUACAUUUUCUUAUAUAGAUAAGGUAGGUUUGGCAAGUUGUAAAAUAUGUGUGGCAGACACUAUGGGCUGUUUUCCUUCUAUCUAUCUAUCUGUUCUGUCUAGCUUAUUCAUAAAAACUAAUUUAGUUCAGCAUGGCAAUGUGCCCAGUUAAAAAUUCGAGCUUCAUCAUCACACAUCCAAAGAAUGAACAUGUGGCAAAGUACUUACUGGCCAAUGAAAUAUAAAGGGACAGUUUCUGAGAAGUGUUUUAUCUCUUGAUUUCCUCUUUCUCCAUACCCUCUCUUCCUACUUCCUACCUGGAAUGCCAACAAAAGGCCUACAGGGCCUUCAUGCAUCUUGCAAUGCAGUAGACAAAAAUCACCUGUUGAGGAUGGCAGAGUCAAAAGAAAGAAGACUGUAUAGCACUGUUGAAAGCCUGGACAAGGACCAGCGCCGUGGCUCACUUGGCUAAUCCUCUGCCUGUGGCGCCGGCAUCCCAUAUGGGUGCCGGGUUCUAGUCCCGGUUGCUCCUCUUCCAGUCCAGCUCUCUGCUCUGGCCCGGGAGGGCAGUGGAGGAUGGCCCAAGUGCUUGGGCGCCUGCACCCGCAUGGGAGACUGGGAAGAAGCACGUGGCUCCUGGCUUCAGGCCAGUGCAGCACCGGCCAUGGCAGUCAUUUGGGGGGUGAACCAACAGAAGGAAGACCUUUCUCUCUGUCUCUCUCUCACUGUCUAUAACUGUCAAAAUAAAAAAAAAGUCUGCACAGUAUAUUUUCAGAUUUUUCUGUCAUAAUUGAACAAUCCACCAUAUUUUAAAUCAUCAAAGAUAGGGUUUUGCUGCCAAACACAUUCCUAGUUGAUGAACAGGGAUUGAUUUUAGUUCACAAUAGGAGAGGGAGAUACAAGGCAUGUUCCUUUUUCAUUCUCAAAUUUCAUUUUCUCUGACUGUUCACCCACCUGAUUGGUGGGAAGUUAAUCAUAAGUCAUUUCUGUGGUUGCUUUUCUGUUCUCUCAAAAAUUCCAGAUUUAUGGGCACUUAACAACACACAUAAAAACAGAGGAAAUAUCAGAUCUUGGUUCAUAGUGGCUAUACUCAUUCAGCAUUUAUUUACUGGUUUUCCAGGUGCUGUCUGAAGAACUGAAUUACACAACAGAAAUACUGUUAGUGACAAACGUGUGGUCAAGGCGUGGCCCUCAGGCUGUAGCUGGGUGUCACAGAUGGAGACACUCUCCAUGACUCUCCACCCACUGGUCACACACACUUGGGGAAUUCAUGCUCCCUGGUCUCCUGACUUGUCUGGUAAUUCCAUCUGGGCAUCCUUUGCUGUCCAGCUAAGGGAAACUUAUAAAACCCUAUCCCUAUACUUGAGUUUAAGACCCUUCAUUGUCCCUGGGGUCCAGAAGAUUCUGAUUUAUCUGCUUUAGACAGUCCCUGAACCCUUCCACAACAAAAAGGAUCCAGCUUAACUCUGAAGAUACUGGCAAAUGUGUUUAUAUUUAUUUUUAUUUAUAUAUCCAGGCAUACAGAUGGGAUGACUGAGCCAUCCACCUAGGAAGCAGCAGAGACAGGGUUUGGGUACAGAUGGUCUGGCUCUGGUCCCAGCUCCUAGCCACUGUAUGGCAAUACAAAAGACCCUCGCCUUCUGCUUGCUCUUGGGAACUCACACAGCAGCACAUGAAGACAGCGUCUAGACUUGAUUAGAUGAGCCACAAACAGCACUAAACGUCACCAAGAAGAGGAAAGCUGCUCGCCUAGUGCCCUGUUCUCAUCCUCCUGGAUUGCAGCUGGGCAGUGUGUGAGGAAUGGAAACACGUGAUGCCAAAGACAGCCAAUCUAUUCUCCGCAGGCUGGUGGUUUAAGGCUAGAGUGGUGAGGGACAGCUCCCUGAUGAUUGCCUGGGAAAGCAGUAGAAGAUGGCCCAUGUUCUUAGACUCUUGCACCUGUCUGGAAGAUCUGGAAGAAGCUCCUGACUCCUGGCUACAUCUCAACCCAGUCUGGCCAUUGUAGCUAGCUGGGGAGUGAACCAGUGGAUGGAAGACCUUUCUGUCUCUCCCUCUCUCUGUCUGUAACUCUACCUUUCAAAUAAAUAAAUAAAAAUGUUUAAAAGAACAUUUUCAGUUAUGAGUAUAUUAAAAUGAAGACUAUGGAGAUCUGUGAUAAAUUUUAGAUGGGUUUUAAUAAAGUAUAAUUGAGAUUUAAGUUUAUCAGUGAAAGGCUAAGUAUUCACCUAUUUGCAAGUAUCACAGGCUGCUAACCAUCUGGGCCACAAUGUCAUUUGCUGUGUUUGCUAAGGCACAGAAUAAGUGUGGGUGACCUUCAGAGACAGGACAUGGCUCUCACUUCUGGGUCACAGGCUCCAUGGGGAGAGAUGAAGGUGGUGUGAAGUUGCCAGGCUCAGGGAGCAACUGAAGGCAUUUAACAGGGGAUGUAU